rnacentral:rRNA from 1 species
GACGAACGCUGGCGGCGUGCUUAACACAUGCAAGUCGAACGGUAAGGCCCUUCGGGGUACACGAGUGGCGAACGGGUGAGUAACACGUGGGUGAUCUGCCCUGCACUUCGGGAUAAGCCUGGGAAACUGGGUCUAAUACCGGAUAGGACCACUGCAUGCAUGGGUGGUGGCUGAAAGCUUUUGCGGUGUGGGAUGGGCCCGCGGCCUGUUAGAUUGUUGGUGGGGGGAUGGCCGACCAAGGCGACGACGGGUAGCCGGCCUGAGAGGGUGACCGGCCACACUGGGACUGAGAUACGGCCCAGACUCCUACGGGAGGCAGCAGUGGGGAAUAUUGCACAAUGGGCGCAAGCCGUAUGCAGCGACGCCGCGUGAGGGAUGACGGCCUUCGGGUUGUAAACCUCUUGCAGCACCGACGAAGCGCAAGUGACGGUAGGUGCAGAAGAAGGACCGGCCAACUACGUGCCAGCAGCCGCCGCGG